GGUGAGAUGGCCGAGAGGAUGAAGGCGCUCCCCUGCUAAGGGAGUAUGCAGAAAAAAAUCUGCAUCGAGGGUUCGAAUCCCUCUCUCACCG
rnacentral:tRNA from 1 species